CAGUUUUAGUAAUUUAUACUCGUUUUUAAAAAUUCAAAAUAUAACAUAUAAAGAAAAAUUUUAAUUUUUAUUAUAUGGUUACUAUGGUUGUUUAAUUUAUUUAAUAGUUUAAAAUUAAACAAAUAUAAUAUAAGACACACUUAUUUUUAUCAAAUCUUUAUUAUUCAAAAUAAUUAAUUGUCAUAUAUAUACUUUAGCCACAUUAGGCAAUUCUGUAAUUUUGUUUAAGGAAGUAAUGCAUCACAUUAAUAAUGUAUUUAUGGUUAGUCUAAUAAAAAUUUUAUUAUAUAUUUAGAUGGACCAACUUAUUUCUCUAAGGAUUCUAAGAAUCAUUUUAGUGAUGACAUGUGGCUACAAAAAAUGUUGUAAUGUUUCUCAAAUAAUAUAUAGGGGAUAUUGGCCAACUUAAUAUAUGCAUAUCUAGAGAAUUUGUUCACGACUAAUUUGUUCAUAAAUAAUUUGUCUGUUGUUGGUUAUUAUACAAAGGAACAGCUCCAUGUGGUUAUAAUUUGUAACUCGUGCCAAAAAAUAAAACUAAUAGUUGUACAUAUAAAUACUUCAUGAUGAUGAGACAGAAGGAAAAACACCGAGAUAUAAUACAUACUUCAGUCAUCAUUUGAGCUUGUCUGCCAAGAUCUUCACUGAAAGGAUAGCGAUUGGCCCCCAAAACGUAUCUUAAGAAUUUUACUUUUUGUUCUAUCCCCAAAUAGAAUAUAUAACGAAUACAUGUUUAGCCGUCUGGAACAUUAUUUUAGAUCAAAAGUCAAAAAUCUAAUAGAGGAAAGCAGUAAAAAUAUAGUUUUUUCCUACAAAAACCUGCAUUCCAUAUAAAACUAUUCUUGGCUAGGUAGAUAACAAAACAAAAUAAAGAAAUAGAGGCAUAACCAAUGUCAAAUCACUACAAAAAAAGUCCACAUUAAUAGCACAUUGUUAUAGUACGUUUUACCGAACUGCUAUUGUAGAUGAGUUUGAAAUUUUUGUACUAUAUAAUAGCAAUUAAUAAACGCUAUUAUAGAGUGAAACCUAAAAUAGCACUUAAUUAAUGCUAUUUUGAAAAUUAAGUAAGUGAGCGGGAAGAUAAAACCAAUGAUUCCGCCAAUAAUUGACGAAAAAUUAUAGUUAAGCGCCAAAAACAUUAUUUAAGCGGUUUCAGUAAUGCUAUCAAAAACAUAUUAUAGCAUUUUUCUAACGCUAAAGAAAGCUAUUUGAACCCCUAAACUCUAAACAUGAUUUUAAACCCUAAACUCUAAAGACAUCCCUUAAAACUUUAAUAUUUUCAUAUUAUAACUUCAAAUCUUAAAAUUAAACUCAAAAUGUAAUCUUCUUGAUCUUAAACUAUAUUUUCCUAAACACAACUCUUUAAUGUUUACUCAAACUCUAUAUCCUAAAAUCCUAACUUCAUACAUAAACUAUACAUUCACUACUCUAAGUAAAAACUUCAAUCUUUAUAUCAUAAAAUACUAAAAUUUGUUUUAAACACUAAACUUUAUUUAUAUAACUUAUACCAUAAAACACUAAGUUUACUUUAAAUAUCAAACUCUAUAUCUAAGCUUUUAACCCUAAUUAUUUUCUAACUCUUACUUACAAAAGUGACAAAAUAUUAAAAGCUUCAAAUCCUUAUUAAAUUUAUAAAUGUUCAAACUUUUCAAAAAAAUUUAAUUUCAUACACUAUAUCCAAACUUUAACCUCUUAUCUUAAAUUUAAACUCAAAAUUUAAUAUUAUAUCCAAACUUCAACCUCAUAUUUUAAAUUUAACCCUAAUAAUACAUACUAUAACCUCAUAUCUUAAAUUUAAACUCAAAAUUUAAUCUUUUUAUUUUAAAUUAUAAUUCUCAUACCCUCUAUCAUAAACAUAACUUUUAAAGUUCAAAUUUUAAUAUUUUGAUUUUCAUAUUAAAAAAAAUUAAAAAUCUUGAUAUAUAAAUUUUAUAUUAUCUAACAUAUAAAUUAAAUAGAACUAUAAAUGAAAAUUUUAUAUCACUUUACCAAUAAAAAAUCAACUAACAAAAAAAAUUGUCAUUGACCAAUGAUAUCAAAGUACUCAGAUCACAACCUCCACCAUUGGAUUAGAUUAAUCCAACAGACCAAAUCUAAUCCCGCUUUAUCUUUCCCUUUCCUCUCUAUUUUCUUCUUCUGCGACAUUCACUCUCUUCACUUCUUCUUUCUUUUCCCUUCGGGUGUAACUGGAUUACUAUUUUUUGGAAUAAAACUGUUUGGAAUAGCUUAUUCCAAGAGAUUCCAAAAAAAAUACACCAUUUAAGUAGAAUUAAAAACAGUUGUCAUUCCAUUAAUUCCUGUGGAAUAGGUGGAACCCAAUGGAAUCUAGUUAUAAUCCUUUCAUGAUAAAAAAGAACGUGAAUGACUGGAAUGGAAUCAAAUUAAAUCAAAAAUAAAAGUUUAAUUAAGUUUAAAUAUUUUUCUUGUUAUUUAUGGCAGUCAGAUAAUAGAUUUGUUAAGGUUUUAAAAUUUAAAAUUUUGUUCUGGUAGGUUUUUAAGGUUUUUUACUAACUAAAUAAUAGCAACAUCUUCUUCUUAUUUAAACAUUAAUACGUAAUCAAACCCAUCGAUCAAAAUUCGUUCUCUCCUGGUAAGUCUUAUUUCCUUUCAUAAUUGCUAUACUGUUUUUUUCUGAGAAAAAGCUUAAAUUUUACCGAACCCUAUAUCUUAAACCUUAAACCUUAAACCCUUGAAUGUUUAGUGUUUAGUGAUUUUGAUUUAGAGUUUAGGAUUUAUCCAAGGGUUUAGGGUUUACCCAAAGGUUUAGGGUUUAGGAUUUAGGGUUUAGUAUUUUGCUGACGACGUUAAAAAUAUAUUUUUUUGUAAUUAUUAAUAUUUUUUAUUUAUUUAUUUUUACUUUUUAAUUUUAAAUACAUAAUAUAAUUUGACAAUUUUUUGUUUCUUUUUUUAAAAGAUAUCGAAUAUGAAAUAAUACAAUUCUAUUGGUUGGUGAACCUAGAAGUUCACCGUAGGAGGUGAAUUCAAGAAUAAGUCUUGUUUUUUGGAUAUAUUAUUCUUUUCAGUCAUCUAUUUUCACUUGUUUUUUUUUAAAUGUUGACCAUCUCAUCUUGAUCUAGUGUAUUUUUAAAGUAUUUAUUCUAUAUCAAGAUAUGUUAGACUUUGAAAAAAAUAAAUCCAAUCAAACUAAUAAAUCUGUUUGAUUUUUGCAAUAACAACCGUUCAUGUUUUAAGAUAUUAGUUUUUUUCUGGGUAGAAAUAUGUAGCGAAAUCAUAUAGUUAAUUUUUGUUUGUUUGUUUUGGAAUAGUUGGUGAUUCCCUGUAGGGAGGUGCAUAAACACUUGAAAUAAAUAGAUAUAGAUACCAGAUCAUAACCGAAGUUUAUGUAAAAAUUCUGUCUUAAACCUCUUUAUCAUAAAAUCAGAAAAGUAACUGCAUAGAAACCUAUAACACACAUGUUAAACUUUUGAAAACAAACCUCCAAUAACUCGUAUGUGAUAGCACGGUGACGUUUGAAUAAAAGUCCACUUCGAGAAGACGGAUGUGAUGCAUUUGUGAAACUGGUCAUAGUACGAUUCGAAAUGCCUAGCUUGUUGGGAGGAAGAAAAACAUGAUUAAAAUUCUUGAAAUCAUUACUGGCAAAUUACUCAAGAGCUAGAUAGUGUAUAUGCAAUAAUUCAAAACUGAAAGUUUGUAGGGCGUUAAUUUCUAUCUUUGUUCAAAGUUUGCAUAGGAUAUAUAUAAUUGUAGCCAAAAGUGACGAAUCAGUCUUAUUUGUGUGAAAGAUAGGAGUAUUGACAUUUGGAACUCUCAACACCCGUACUGUUAGGAGAGGCACAUUUGUUUAUUGUGUUUAGAGUUUUUCCAUUCGUGAGCCUUGAACAAUGCGGAUUUGGCCGACAACCAGUUCCAAAACAAACAAAAAAAUUUUGUUAAGUAGAGACUGUUACGAACCAACUCUCGAUUGAUCCAUAACACACAAUACAAUGUAUCUCAAGUGACUCUCUCCUCAACAUCUCACUUUCUCAGAAUACGAUUUAUCAAUUAAAACUUAAGAGAUAAUAGAUCGAUGAAGAUCUCUUUCACUCUUAUCUCUUUAUUUAUACCAUUGCUUCCCAUAGCUGUCAAACCCUCUCUUUCUCUUCAAUUCUUUGCUUCUCUCAUCUCUCCUUCCACAUAAGCAACUGAUGAGUAUUUACAGCUUAUCAGAGACCUGAAAGGAGAGUUCCAGCCGUUAUCUGGCCAUGUAGACAACUUAUGUUAUUUCUUUCCAUUAAAAUUUCAAGACCUAGUUCAAGAAUCACAUUUAGUUAAUGAUACCAGAUGAGGAUCAUGCAUGAAGAAAAAAUUAGGGAAAGAAAACUCAAGAAAAGAUUUUUAAAAGUACAGUUUAAGUGAGCUCAGGGAAUAAAUUCAAAAUGUGUAGGAGAAUAUCGUAAUAUUAUACACGCAGUAUGCAAAGACAUAGGUUCUAUACCAUGUAAGAUAAGCAAAAAAAAA